UUCAUAGGUUACCUCUGUCGUUACCUACAUAAGUAGAUACGGGAACGUAAUUGUUGA
rnacentral:sRNA from 12 species